UUCGGGUUGUCAUGCCAAUGGCACUGCCCGGUAGCUACGUUCGGAACUGAUAAGCGCUGAAAGCAUCUAAGCGCGAAGCAGGCCUCGAGAUGAGUUCUCACUAGACUUUUAAAGUCUCUGAAGGGCCGUUGAAGACUACAACGUUGAUAGGCAGGAUGUGGAAGUGGUGYGAGCCAUUAAGCUAACCUGUACUAAUUACCCGUGAGGCUUAACCAUACAACGCCAAACGCGUUU
rnacentral:rRNA from 1 species